rnacentral:rRNA from 1 species
GACGAACCGAGCGAACGUUGUUCGGAAUCACUGGGCUUAAAGGGCGCGUAGGCGGGCAUUCAAGUCUGUGGUGAAAUCCUCCAGCUCAACUGGAGAACUGCCAUGGAUACUGGGUGUCUCGAGGGUGGUAGGGGUAUGCGGAACUAUCGGUGGAGCGGUGAAAUGCGUUGAUAUCGAUAGGAACUCCGGUGGCGAAGGCGGCAUACUGGACCACUUCUGACGCUGAGGCGCGAAAGCCAGGGGAGCGAACGGG